CCUAUCAGCUUCGACGGUAUGGUAUUGGCUUACCGUGGCAGUGACGGUUAACGGGGGAUUAGGGUUCGAUUCCGGAGAGGGAGCCUGAGAAACGGCUACCACAUCUAAGGAAGGCAGCAGGCGCGCAAAUUACCCAAUUCUAACAGCAUAAGAGAGGUAGUGACAAGAAAUAACAGUACAAGGCAGUUAAAAUGCUUUGUAAUUGGAAUGAUAGAAAUUUAAAUACUUUUUAAAGUAUCAAUUGGAGGGCAAGUCUGGUGCCAGCAGCCGCGGUAAUUCCAGCUCCAAUAGCGUAUAUUAAAAUUGUUGCAGUUAAAAAGCUCGUAGUUGAAUNUNUGCUAAAAAUAACCGGUGUGCUUUUAUUAAUAAAAGUGGUAUCUUGGUGUGUUUUUAGCAAUAAUGUCCUUUGAAAUGUUUUUUACUUUAUUGUAAAAAACAAAUUUCAGGAUUUUUACUUUGAGAAAAUUAGAGUGUUUCAAGCAGGCUAACGUUUUGAAUACUGCAGCAUGGAAUAAUAAAAUAGGAUUUUAGUUCUACGUUAUUGGUUUUAAGAACUAAAUUAAUGAUUGAUAGGGGCAGUUGGGGGGCAUUU
rnacentral:rRNA from 1 species